ACACUUCAGUGGAAACAAAAGUGCCAUUGCCCUCUCAGCCACCGAUCUGCUUCAAAGAAUGGAAACCACAGUAUUAGAAGGUGCAUUCAAGUCUAACAAUGGAGUACAAGCACCAGACAAUUUUGUAGUUACUGACACACGAGUUGUUCCAGACAACAAAUGCUCUGAGAAGAUUUUCACACUGAAGGCUGGAGAAGAUGCCAUGGCCAUCCAUUGUACUGAAGUCGUCAGAGAAAGCACCACAGGUCAAAGUGCUGUGGCUUUUCUCUCUUAUUCUACCCUGGGGGACAUCAUCAAU
rnacentral:lncRNA from 1 species